rnacentral:lncRNA from 1 species
UUCAGCUCUCCAAGAAUAAUCUGGAAUCCUCCUUUUCCUCUCAAUUCCAGCCGAUACCACGAUGAUCCAAGCGUUUAUCCUAUCCAUCUUAGACAACCGCGCCAGCCUCCUUGCCUCCUCUCUCUCCCCUCUCCGUUCAUUCAUUCCAAUGUAUUUAUUGAGCGCUUACCGUGUGCCAAGCGUUGUACUAAGCACUUGGGAGAGUACAAUGUAACGAUAAACAGACAGAGAAGCAGCGUGGCUCAGUGGAAAGAGCCCGGGCUUGGGAGUCAGAGGGCGUGGGUUCUAAUCCCGGCUCCGCCACUUGUCUGCUCUGUGACCUUGGGCAAGUCACUUCACUUCUCUGCGCCUCAGUUCCCUCAUCUGCAAAAAUGGGGAUUAAAAAAUGUGAGCCCCACAUGGGACAAUCUGAUUAUCCUGUAUCUCCCCCAGCGCUUAGAACGGUGCUCUGCACAGAGUCGGCGCCUAUCAAACACCAUAAUUAUUAUUACUUUCCCUGCCCACAGUGAGUUUACGGUCUGCACUUCACUCUUCUCCCCGGGAUCAUUUUUAUUGAAAAAAACAUUCCGCACAUGUCUCCCCAAGCUACAAACCCCUCCAAAGUUCGCCUUCCCGUUUCCACAUCACACAGAAACUCUUCACCAUCAGCUUUAUCAUCAAUCAACUCUCACAUACCUCAGCCAUCUCCUACUACAACCUAGCCCACGCACUUCCUCUAAUGUCAACCUACUGAAUUUACCCGGAUCUUGCCUUUCACUGCUAACCCCUUGCUCACAUCCUCUCUUAGGCCUAGAAUUUCCUCCCCGAAGCCCAUUUCCCCAGUCUUUCCCCCUUAACCUCUUUAAUAUUCAUUCAGUCGCAUUUAUUAAGCGCUUACCGUGUGCAGAGCACUGUACUGAUCACUCAGUCACCCCACCCCAGACCCACGAGGGUACUUACGUACCCUUAUACUCUGUUGUUUCCUCAUCUGGGAUUUCUUUCAAUGUCGUUCUUCCCCACAGGAAUAAUAACCGUGGUAUUUGGUAA